UUUACUUUUCUCAGCUGGACCAGGAGGCUCAGCUUUCUUCCUUACUCUGAAGGAGUCUUCCUUUCCAGCAGCCUUCACAGAGGUUCCUGGCUGCUCCUCCUGGGUUUCUCUUGGGACCACUCAUGGUUGGAUGAUGCCAGUCUGCUUAGCUUGUUGGUGAUGACAUUGUCUGUCCCGGGAAUAUCCACCACCUGCAGGGUAGUGCAUCUGUUGCUGGCCCAUUCCCACAGGUGAACAGCCUCUUUGCAGUGUCCUGGACAUCGUGCCACCCUGACCGUUCAUAUAGAACAUCACCAUCAAGUUGUUGGUGAGGAUGAGGACAUUUUUCCCUGUCACCAUAUCUGAGAACGAGCCCUAUCUGGAGGGAGGGAGGCCCUAUUGAGAGAACCAUCAAAGGUGGCUCCUAUGAACUGGACCCUCCUGCUUGGAUCAAGAUGAAGAUCGUUCUGUAUUGAAGAAAGAAGAUGACAGGAAUGCAAGCUGUUCAGAAUCUUUUCAUUCAGCGGCAAAAGAAGAAAUGAG